rnacentral:rRNA from 1 species
UACGUAGGGUGCGAGCGUUGUCCGGAAUUAUUGGGCGUAAAGAGCUCGUAGGCGGUUUGUCGCGUCGACUGUGAAACCUACAGCUUAACUGUGGGCUUGCAGUCGAUACGGGCAGACUUGAGUUCGGUAGGGGAGACUGGAAUUCCUGGUGUAGCGGUGAAAUGCGCAGAUAUCAGGAGGAACACCGGUGGCGAAGGCGGGUCUCUGGGCCGAUGACUGACGCUGAGGAGCGAAAGCGUGGGGAGCGAACAGG